GAAGAAGAAGAAGAAGAAGAAGAAGAAGAACCAACUGAAAAGGCUAAACUUGAGAGUGAGGAAUCCCUGGUUGAGCACUUAAAAACCCUCGAGAAAGGAACAAUCUAUCAAAAUCCAACAAAAGACGACAUUCAGUCACUUCUUCAGUCUGAGAAAUGUGAAGCUGAGAAGAAAACUGACUAAACAGACAAAUUUUUAUUGAAAUCGUAAUAUUAAACAAGAUGAAAACUCUGUAUCAAAA